rnacentral:rRNA from 1 species
CAGCAGCCGCGGUAAUACGUAGGGUGCAAGCGUUAAUCGGAAUUACUGGGCGUAAAGCGUGCGCGGGCGGUCCGCUAAGACAGAUGUGAAAUCCCCGGGCUUAACCUGGGAACUGCAUUUGUGACUGGCGGGCUAGAGUAUGGCAGAGGGGGGUAGAAUUCCACGUGUAGCAGUGAAAUGCGUAGAGAUGUGGAGGAAUACCGAUGGCGAAGGCAGCCCCCUGGGCCAAUACUGACGCUCAUGCACGAAAGCGUGGGGAGCAAACAGGAUUAGAUACCCCUGUAGUCCCUGUCUCUUAUAC